GGAUCGUGGAUCUCGAGGUAGGCGUGGCUUCUCAUCAAAAGAGAUGUCAAGCUUUUGAUUGGUAGGAGAUUCAGUAACACCACUGUCUAGGGUGAUAUGAAGCACUGGCCAUUCAAGGUUCUAUCCGGUCCAGCUGACAACCCAUGAUUGAGGUCUCAUACAAGGGUGAGGAGCAGCAGUUUGCUGCUGAGGAGAUCUCUUAAAUUGAAGGUCAUACCUGAAAAAGUAUGGGGUUGUGGGUCUUCCUUAAGAGUGUUGGAUAUAAGUAGAAAUUCUAUUCAUGAAAUUCCUUCUCAGAUUGGUUCUUUAAACUCAAUCCAGUUUAACUUCAUUGCCGUCUUGAUUGGGUGGUUUGGUCUCUCUAAUGCAACUUCAUGUUGCAAACAACAAGCUGACUAAUUUUCCAGUUCAAAUUGGACUUCUAACUCGUCUGGAAAUCUUGAAAGUAAAUAACAACAGGAUAAGCUCAGUUCCGUCGAAUAUAGGGAAUUGUGUCUCCCUUGUCGAGGUUGAUCUUGCAUCAAAUCUCUUGGUAGACUUGCCUGACACAGUUGGGAGUUUACGGAAUCUUGAGGUACUCCAUGUUUGUGUGGGCUCUGCAUCUGAGUAAUAAUGGCCUCAAAUCCCUUCAUUCAAUGCUAUUCAAACUGUGCACCCAGCUCUCGACUCUUGAUCUUCAUAAUACAGAAAUCACAAUUGAUAUUCUCAGUCAGGUAUUGACUUUUGAUUCUUUUUUUUAUCUAAAACUUGUGCAAGAGGUGAUAGUCUUAUGUAUCCAAGUAUUAUGUCACACAAGCGGUUUGAAGGGUGGGAAAUUUUUGAUGAGCAUCGUAGAUUAAAGCAUCAAAAGCAACUGGAUUUCAGAGUUGGAAGUUCUGGUGUGUUUGAUGAAGGUGCUGAUAAAUAUUAAAAAGGUACUCGAUCUCUCAAGUCGCACAUUGCCAAAGUAUAUGAAUGCA